CCUACGGGUGGCAGCAGUGGGGAAUAUUGGACAAUGGGCGAAAGCCUGAUCCAGCCAUGCCGCGUGUGUGAAGAAGGCCUUCGGGUUGUAAAGCACUUUCAGUGGGGAAGAAAGCCUUGGGGCUAAUACCCUCGAGGAAGGACAUCACCCACAGAAGAAGCACCGGCUAACUCCGUGCCAGCAGCCGCGGUAAUACGGAGGGUGCGAGCGUUAAUCGGAAUUACUGGGCGCAAAGCGCGCGUAGGCGGUCUGAUAAGCCGGUUGUGAAAGCCCCGGGCUCAACCUGGGAACGGCAUCCGGAACUGUCAGGCUAGAGUGCAGGAGAGGAAGGUAGAAUUCCCGGUGUAGCGGUGAAAUGCGUAGAGAUCGGGAGGAAUACCAGUGGCGAAGGCGGCCUUCUGGACUGACACUGACGCUGAGGUGCGAAAGCGUGGGUAGCAAACAGGAUUAGAUACCCCUGUAGUC
rnacentral:rRNA from 1 species